CUUUUUGGCCCCUAAUUCCUAAAAUGUUGGGACCAAAACUCCCAAAAUCAAUACCAAUCUUCCUUUUGUGGUCAUAAACCUUGUGUUAAAAUUUCAUAGAUUUCCAUUCACUUUUACUAAAGUUAGAGUGCGAAAACUAAAAGUAUUCGGACGCCGGACGACGACGCCGACGCCGACGCCGACGCCAACGUGAUAGCAAUAUACGACGAAAAAUUUUUCAAAUUUUGCG
rnacentral:lncRNA from 1 species